rnacentral:rRNA from 1 species
CCUACGGGUGGCAGCAGUGAGGAAUAUUCGGCAAUGGGCGCUAGCCUGACCCAGCCAAGUAGCGUGAAGGAUGACUGCCCUAUGGGUUGUAAACUUCUUUUAUAUGGGAAUAAAGUGCAGUAUGUAUACUGCUUUGCAUGUACCUUAUGAAUAAGGAUCGGCUAACUCCGUGCCAGCAGCCGCGGUAAUACGGAGGAUCCGAGCGUUAUCCGGAUUGAUUGGGUUUAAAGGGAGCGUAGGCGGGUUGUUAAGUCAGUUGUGAAAGUUUGCGGCUCAACCGUAAAAUUGCAGUUGAUACUGGCAGCCUUGAGUACAGUAGAGGUAGGCGGAAUUCGUGGUGUAGCGGUGAAAUGCUUAGAUAUCACGAAGAACUCCGAUGGCGAAGGCAGCCUGCUGGACUGUAACUGACGCUGAUGCUCGAAAGUGUGGGUAUCAAACAGGAUUAGAUACCCGAGUAGUC